CCAUGUUGAUCAUGGACUGAGCAAAGGCCUGAAAAAACAGACUCUGGUUACUUGCGAAGGAAGUAACAAUCGCAAUCGUGGCUGAACCGGUGGUAGAGAACAGUUCUUGGUCUGACUGAAGAAGCCCGUUGUUGCUCUGAAGGUUGGUGAAGUAAUUGUUAUCGAACGCGUCAGGUGUGCUCAGAUCAAGAUUAGUGAUCCCUGAUCCGGUGCCGUUUUGAGGACAUAUCUGUUGAAGACUGCUUAGAAGCGUAGUGUUUAGAGUUGGGUCAGGAUUUCCCGAGCCGCUGAAGUUGAAUAGUCUGUUACUGAACACUCCACAUCGAGCACGUCCGAAGGUAUGUGCACCUAUACGUAGAUAUAACCACAAAGGAUGGCGUUAGGGUUUUGUUUUACUUUUUCCGCAAGUUAACUAAACAUGUAGAUAUUUUUACCAGAUAAGGCUACUAGAUCAUUUGUAUUUAGCCCGACAGCUGAAAAUUUUGAUGUGAUGUUAGUAAGGCUUUCUACUGGAGAAGGAAUUGACGAAUUUGCCCCGGCUUGGUUUGCUGUGAGACUAUCUCUUCUGCCCAAUAAUACAGUCCAUGAAGGCCCUCCUGACUGACCAUGUUCAACCACGUACGUUUUAACUAGUGAGCAUAUGUAUUGUUUGCUAUGUCUUAUUAAGAAUGUGUUAUUACCAAAGAAACUGAGGCUUCUGAGGCAAGAGCUAAAACGUCAGAACAAGAGACGACGCCGGGACAAGCGUUCUCAAGGGCAGUCUUGAUAUUAUCGACAACGUUGAAUCCUCUUGCCGAGUUUGCAUUCGGUCCAGCAUUCUUCUCGCUCUGGAUGCUUCCACUGUCGUCAAGCAAGAUCGAUGCGUCACACCCCUUUUAGAAAAUAAAGAAAAGUAUCGGUUUAAGCGAGAAAAAGAUCAUAACGUUAAAGAGUUGUAUUGAGAAAGGAUUAGUAUACAUUAACAAAACAGUCGUGAAAAUGAAGGCGGAUGAGGCUAGCUCCGAUUCUAGAGUCGGACUGAAGGGCUUGCUGAAUAGUGGUACGUACGAUGGCAGAUGCGUUAGGGCACGUCCCUGAGUAAAACGUUGCAUUUAACUGCGCAUUUGAAGUUCCAAACAAUGAAGAUGAGAUGAUGAGAGUGGUGAGGAUUACGAUGAAGAAACCAUCACAAGUAGUAGGAGUAUUUGUUACAGCCAUUACUUAGGUUUUGGAAGUAACUAGUUUUGAAUUUUGUUUUUCUAUGAUUGGUGCGGAGCUUAUGAGUAUUCCAUAUCAUUUUGAAAUCAUUAUAUUUAUAGGCAGGGAAGGUUAUUAACGCGUACAUAUUGGCUGGUGAUGAAAGUGAAAGAUUUUAAAUUAAACCAAUAACUAGAUUAACGUGUGUGUUUGUGUACUAAGUCCAAAAGAUGAGAAAUAAGCUGGUGCUUCUACAUUUUCUUAAGUUAAAAGUUAUUUGUCUUUAGGUUAUACCAUCUCCAUCACUUGCAUUAUUGUAGUCCUUCCACGCGGUUGGUAAAUGAAUUUAUAAAUAGUGUAUACUAUAAGAAUAUAUCAGAUUUUGCGUUCUUGAGACGAAAUCUCGUUCUGGUGAUCAAGAUUGUUUUUUCUUCGUUCUAUCAUUAACAUUGGAAUACACUAAAACAUGAUAUAAAUUAUAUAUCGAAAUUAAACAUCUUUAAUGCAUUCUGAUUCCCAUGUUUAAUAUCGAGAAUUCAUAUAAAAAUGAAUGUGAAUGAAGAUCUCAAUUCUCACAUUGAUAGGCAGAAUUUCAAAUAUGCUUUUAAAAAAGUUAGUCUGCACAAAUUAGUUUAUAAGUCACAUUUAGUCUACACGAAUUAGUUUACAAGUCACAUUUCUGCAAAAUAACUGCUACCUUCAAGAGUUGUUAGACCUUUACAGCUGUAUUAAUUUUGAGAAAACAAAUAGAUUCAUAAUCAAGUGUUUUAUAAUGAGUGUUUACUUCACUGAUUUUGAUAAAGAACCUUCAGAAGUCUUACUUUCGAGAUGUUCCUUUGACAUUAACCUAUGUUCGCAGAUGCGUGACUAGCUCUGGAUUUUCGAGUGACGGUGAUAUGGAUUAUGACUCUUAGAAAGAGCUUAGAACAUACUAUAACGUAUUAUUCUUGAAAUUUACUAUAACUGUUAAUUCUGAAAGUUUUUUCUCUAUUUCAUUAGUUUUUACUAUGAUGAAGUCAAAUAAAUAAGUAUCUCUGAUAACUAACUACAUUGAAAAUUAAUAUUGAAAAAAGUAUUUUAAAAUGCACAUAUACAUGUAUAUAUAUAUUUUAUAUUGUAUAGCUUUUCUAAAAAAAUUGCUGAGAAAUAAAAUACACACAGUUUUAAGGCCCAGCUGGCUAUAUUUCCCAUCAAACUUGCUAAAUAAAAGCCAAAACUGAGGCAAUUCCCCUUCCAAUCUUCCAUCAUCACGGAAAAACUAGGACAUUUUCAACAUUCAGUGAACCUUCAAAACAAACUAAAUGAAGGUUCCACAAUGUGAAAAUGUCAUUUAUAACCAAUUUGUGCAUCAUUGAUGGAUUCAUUUCCCUAUAAACAUACGAUUCUUAAAAAUUAUUCUAUUUUAAUUUCCAGUAGUUUAAUGAUUAAACUAGAUUUUGUGAUAACAUAUUACAUUAGAGUUUUAUAUUGGCACUAGGGUCGGCCCGGGCUACGCCCGGAAUUUUUUGUUUAAAUUUAAAUGUUAAUUGUAUAUUUAGUAUGUUUAUUUUAUUUAUAAAUAUUAUAAUCUAUUAUAAAAAAUAUAAGUAGCCAAACAAUUAUAAAAUCAAUUCAAAUUAUUCUUUGUUCAAUUACGCAUUUUAAUAUUUUUAAUAUUCAUUUUUUUGUUAUGAGAAAUUAUAUAUAAGGUGAUGAGUAGAAUAAACAAAAAUUAUUAUUAUUUAGUUAUGGUGUUUAAUUGAUUAUGUCGAAUAAGGUGAUACUGUGUCGUUUAGGAGUGAUAGAGAUGUAAAGCGUUUGCUGAUUUGAUGUUAUACCUAUUAGAGUGUGUGUUGUUUCUGUGUUGACUCUUAUGAAUGUGUGUUGUUUUAAUGACUUUAACUAAACGUGUUUGUCAUCUUACAUAGGAUCCACAUAAAACCUAAAUUUCUUUACACAAACAUUUUUUUUCACGCCGUAAACUAAUUCUCUCAACUAAACUCAUCUCUUUCAAACGCCAAAGCAACCCUUUGACUCUCUGCAAAUCAGAAACCGUAAACUCAUCCCUAUCAAAUCUUGACUCUGCGUAGAUCGAAAGCAAGUAUUCUUUUUUUUUUUCUUUUGGCUUUUUGAACUUUUUUGCGGAUAACCCGCUAGACCCGCUUGUUUGAUGCGGAGCGGGUGUGGUUAUCGAAAUCCGGUCAUGCGGGUCUUGCGGGUAUAAUUUUCAAGUGAAAAAAUGAGUUUAACCUGCGGCGGGGCGGUUGAGCGGGGCGGAUCCGACCCGCUUCCCAGGCAUAAUCAUGGGUCUAGAGGAAGCAGCAGGAUUGAACAGUUACCAAUGGCGUUAGGAUGCGUCUCCGUUCUUCACUGCUGUCGUAUUAGGGUUAGCAAAACUCAGACUUAUCCGGCCAGUUACGCUUUCUUUAUCACAGCCCAAUAACAUGUAAAAUAACGAAGCCCAAUAAGAUGAUGUUAAUGAAACUCUGCGUUUCUUCUCUCUGGACACGUGGCAUCACUACAAACCUCUCGACUUUCUGACCUGGCGCUGACGUGGAUGCACAGGAGUGAAGCAAACAUAUUUUUAUAUAUAUAGAUUUAUUUUGAAACGAACAACUCUUCUAAACUGUACAUAUUGCCAAGUUCAAAUUUUUUUUUCAACUAUUCUUAAUUAUUUUUUUUCUUUUCUUAAUAUAAUUUAAGCAUUCAUACAAAAAUUGAUUUUUUUUAUUGAAAAAUAUAAAUCUUUAUUAAAAGUAUAUAAUUUUUUUUAUUAAAAUAUUAACCACAUAAUAAAAUUAAUUUAUCAAAGUUAUACCAACUUAAUUCAUUAAAGAAAUAAAGUUUAAUUUUUUAAACAUAAAUAGUCAUUUAAAAUGAAAUACGAUAAAUAAAGAUAAAAAGUUUAAGUCUUUUAUAAAAUAAAACACAUCUGCCAGAUUGUCCUACCAUACUCUGCUGCAGGACAAAUCUCUGCUCAAUUUCAACGUCCUACACUGAGACGCUUCUUGAGAUUCCAGUCAAAUUUCUGCUCAGUUCAAUACUCAAAACUCAUCUUCAUGCUUGCAUUUUACACCCUCUCACAUACUAUUACAGGAUUCUCAACCCUCUAUAAAACAUAUAUUAGACAUCCACAAUUUCUCAAUCCAUUUGAACGAGGAGAGAUACAACAAAAGAGACAGAGGAUCAGUUGGAUAUUGUGUUUGGAUUACCAGUUUGCAUGAUCUAGUGGCUAUGCUUCAGUCUUGUUGUGUUUCACCAAGUGUCUUCUUGAAAUGCUCUCUAUACUGUCAUUUGACAAGUCAUUUAUUUUACCUAUUUGUCAUAUUUUCAAUAGUUUUUAUACUAACUAGGGUCGGCCCGAGAUUUUUGUUUAAAUUUAAAUGUUGAAUAUAUAUUUAGUAUGUUUAUUUUAGUUAUAACGUUAUAAUCUAUAAUAAAAAAUAUAAGUUGCCAAACAAUUAUAAAAUCAUUUUAAAUUAUUCAUUGUUUUUGUUUUAAGCAUUUAAAAAGUUUUACUAUCCAUUUUUUUUGUUAUUAGAAAUUAUAUAUAAGGUGAUGAGUAGAAUAAACAAAAAUUAUUAUUAUUUAGUUAUGGUGUUUAAUUGAUUAUGUCGAAUAAGGUGAUACUGUGUCGUUUAGGAGUGAUAGAGAUGUAAAGCGUUUGCUGAUUUGAUGUUAUACCUAUUAGAGUGUGUGUUGUUUCUGUGUUGACUCUUGUGAAUGUGUGUUGUUUUAAUGACUUUAACUAAACGUGUUUGUCAUCUUACAUAGGAUCCACAUAAAACCUAAAUUUCUUUACACAAACAUUUCUUUUCACGCCGUAAACUAAUUCUCUCAACUAAACUCAUCUCUUUCAAACGCCAAAGCAACCCUUUGACUCUCUGCAAAUCAGAAACCGUAAACUCAUCCCUAUCAAAUCUUGACUCUGCGUAGAUCGAAAGCAAGUAUUCUUUUUUUUUUUCUUUUGGCUUUUUGAACUUUUUUGCGGAUAACCCGCUAGACCCGCUUGUUUGAUGCGGAGCGGGUGUGGUUAUCGAAAUCCGGUCAUGCGGGUCUUGCGGGUAUAAUUUUCAAGUGAAAAAAUGAGUUUAACCUGCGGCGGGGCGGUUGAGCGGGGCGGAUCCGACCCGCUUCCCAGGCAUAAUCAUGGGUCUAGAGGAAGCAGCAGGAUUGAACAGUUACCAACGGCGUUAGGAUGCGUCUCCGUUCUUCACUGCUGUCGUAUUAGGGUUAGCAAAACUCAGACUUAUCCGGCCAGUUACGCUUUCUUUAUCACAGCCCAAUAACAUGUAAAAUAACGAAGCCCAAUAAGAUGAUGUUAAUGAAACUCUGCGUUUCUUCUCUCUGGACACGUGGCAUCACUACAAACCUCUCGACUUUCUGACCUGGCGCUGACGUGGAUGCACAGGAGUGAAGCAAACAUAUUUUUAUAUAUAUAGAUUUAUUUUGAAACGAACAACUCUUCUAAACUGUACAUAUUGCCAAGUUCAAAUUUUUUUUUCAACUAUUCUUAAUUAUUUUUUUUCUUUUCUUAAUAUAAUUUAAGCAUUCAUACAAAAAUUGAUUUUUUUUAUUGAAAAAUAUAAAUCUUUAUUAAAAGUAUAUAAUUUUUUUUAUUAAAAUAUUAACCACAUAAUAAAAUUAAUUUAUCAAAGUUAUACCAACUUAAUUCAUUAAAGAAAUAAAGUUUAAUUUUUUAAACAUAAAUAGUCAUUUAAAAUAAAAUACGAUAAAUAAAGAUAAAAAGUUUAAGUCUUUUAUAAAAUAAAAUACAAAUAUAUGAAAAUAUGACAUUUACUAAAUAUUUGUCAAUUGAAAAAAAAAUAUGCGUUUUGAAAGCGCAGAUCAAAAUCUAGUUAAAAUUUAAAACUGAUGCAUUAUUGGAUAGAUUUUUUUUCUUGAACAAACACAUUAUUGGAUAGAUAAUAACGCUAAAGCCAAAAGAAAAUUUGAAUAUUGUAAAUAGUCCUCCUAUAUGGUACGUUUGAAAUACAACGCCAACUUUGCUGUAAUGAUAAUUCUCAUGACAAUAUUUUUUCCAUAAUUGACUUAUACGUCAAUUCCAUAAUUGACAUGAUAUCCAUGACUCCAUCCACUAGUAUUGUAUGUAAUUUAUUAUAAUUUUUUUAACUGUAAUUUAUUAUAAAAGAUGUGAUACAUCCAUGUAUUUAGCAUAACAACAUAUUUGUAAUUAUUAAAACAUCGUAGGUUCAAGAUAUAAUUCUACUAGGUGUUACCACAUAAUUUUCCCCUACCAUUUUUGUACGAAAAUGGUUCAGCUUAUUCGAAUAAUUAUUCAUAUGUGAUAAACAAACGGUGAAACUAGUCUUCGCAUUUUUCACAUUUCUUCUAAAUUCACUGUUUUCUCAGCAGAGCCAGACCUUAACUCAAUUGCCUGAGUGGUGGAUUGUCCAUUAACCACCUUACAGUCUUGUCUAAUCUCUCCACUACUCCCAGUCAACGGACUAAUGUUCCCCAUUUUGAUCAUGGACAGAGCAAACGCCUCGAAAAACUGAGUUUGGUUACUUGCAAAGGAAGUAACAAUAGGGAUGGUGGGAGAACCGGUGUCAGAUAACAGUUCUUGGUCUGACUGAAGAAGACCAUUGUUGCUCUGAAGGUUGGUGAAGUAAUUGUUAUCGAAAGCAUCAGGUGUGCUCAGAUCAAGAUUGGUGACUACUGAUGCGCUGCCGUUUUGAGGACAUAGCUGUUGAAGACUGCUGAGAAGUGUUGAGUUUAGAGUCGGGUCUGGACUUCCUGUCCCAUUGAA
rnacentral:lncRNA from 1 species